rnacentral:rRNA from 1 species
GACGAACGCUGGCGGCGUGCUUAACACAUGCAAGUCGAACGGAAAGGCUCCAGCUUGCUGGAGUCCUCGAGUGGCGAACGGGUGAGUAACACGUGGGUAAUCUGCCCUGCACUCUGGGAUAAGCCUGGGAAACUGGGUCUAAUACUGGAUAUGACCUUUCUCCUUAUGGGGUUUGGUGGAAAGUUUUUCGGUGUAGGAUGAGCCCGCGGCCUAUCAGCUUGUUGGUGGGGUGAUGGCCUACCAAGGCGACGACGGGUAGCCGGCCUGAUAGGGUGAUCGGCCACAUUGGAACUGGGAUACGGCCCAGACUCCUACGGGAGGCAGCAGUGGGGAAUAUUGCACAAUGGGCGGAAGCCUGAUGCAGCGACGCCGCGUGGGGGAUGACGGCCUUCGGGUUGUAAACCUCUUUCAGCAGGGACGAAGCGUAAGUGACGGUACCUGCAGAAGAAGCACCGGCUAACUAUGUG